rnacentral:rRNA from 1 species
AACGGCCGGCAGAGAAACCGACCCAGGUUGUGGCGGCGAGCAAUGCGGGGACGCAGGAAGGUAGAUGAUCCCAGGCGAUGGUUGUCCUGGGGUAAGCGAGUAGGGAGAGGCCCAGGUAAGUCCGGUCCUCACGAUCCUGAGACGCGACGCCGAGCCGAAUCAGGCGAAGUCAUUGAUCCUAUGCUGCCAAGAAAAGCCGCUAGUUAGCACGUGUGGUGCCCGUACCCCAAACCAACACAGGUGGAUAGGUAGAGAAUACCAAGGCGAUUGAGAUAACUCUGGUUAAGGAACUCGGCAAAAUACAUCCGUAACUUCGGGAGAAGGAUGACCCCAUUAGGGUGACGGGACUUGCUCCCUGAGCUCGAAGGGGUGGCACAAACCAGUGGGAAGCGACUGUUUACUAAAAACACAGCAGCGUGCGAAGCCGUAAGGCGCUGUAUACGCUGUGACUCCUGCCCGGUGCUGGAAGGUUACGGGGAAGGGUUAGCCCUUGAGGCGAAGCUCUGAACCUAAGCCCCAGUAAACGGCGGCCGUAACUAUAACGGUCCUAAGGUAGCGAAAUUCCUUGUCGGGUAAGUUCCGACCUGCACGAAUGGAGUAACGACUCCCCAACUGUCUCAACCAGAGACUCAGCGAAAUUGAAGUACGAGUAAAGAUGCUCGUUAGCUGCAGAAGGACGGAAAGACCCCGUGGACCUUUACUAUAGUUUGGUAUUGGUUCUUGGUCUGAGUUGUGUAGGAUAGGUGGGAGACUAGGAAGCAUUGGCGCCAGUCAGUGUGGAGUCGUCCUUGAAAUACCACCCUUCUCAUACUGGGAAUCUAACUUCGACCCGUUAUCCGGGUCAGGGACAGUGCCAGAUGGGUAGUUUGACUGGGGCGGUCGCCUCCUAAAUGGUAACGGAGGCGCUCAAAGGUUCCCUCAGACUGGUCGGCCAUCAGUCGUUGAGUGCAAUCGCACAAGGGAGCUUGACUGCGAGACCGACAAGUCGAGCAGGUACGAAAGUAGGAGAUAGUGAUCCGGCGGUAGCGUGUGGAAGCGCCGUCGCUCAACGGAUAAAAGGUACCCCGGGGAUAACAGGCUAAUCUUCCCCAAGAGUCCAUAUCGACGGGAAGGUUUGGCACCUCGAUGUCGGCUCAUCGCAUCCUGGGGCUGAAGCAGGUCCCAAGGGUUGGGCUGUUCGCCCAUUAAAGCGGUACGCGAGCUGGGUUUAGAACGUCGUGAGACAGUUCGGUCCCUAUCCUCUGCAGCCGGAAGAGAUUUGACGAAAGCUGUCCCUAGUACGAGAGGACCGGGAUGGACGUAGCUCUCGUGUGCCAGUUGUCCCGCCAGGGGCAUGGCUGGUUAGCGACCUACGGUAGGGAUAACCGCUGAAAGCAUCUAAGCGGGAAGCCUGUUCGAAGAUGAGAUCUCUCACCGGGUUAACCGGGUAAGGCCCGUGGAAGACCACCACGUUGAUAGGCCGGAAGUGUAAGCACAGCAAUGUGUUCAGCUGACCGGUACUAAUCGGCCGAGGGCU